CCGAAGGAGUGACUAGCUAACUGAAUCAUAGAAUUUCUUUAAAUUCAUGAUGUCGUAAGGGAAAAUAAUGAUAUUACCUUACUAUGAGUGUCGUCCAAAGCUGGUGCCAGAAGACUCGGUAAGACCAGAGACGCAAACGUUAAUCAUCUUAAACAGGCGUAAAGGGUUUGUAGGCAGCUUUCAUAAUAUUAUUUCUUACAAAAAUAAAGAAGUGGUCUGAUUGAAAGCUAGAAUCAAAAAGAGGUUAUAGUGUAUAACGCCUAGAGGAGGGCUGAUAUCCUUAGAUCCUAGGCAGAAUACUUAGGGCGAAGGCCACUCUCCACUAAUGAUUGACGCUGAGAAACGAAGGUAAGGGUAGGAAAUAGGAUUAGAUACCCCGGUACUCCUUUCUGUAAACGAUGAAUGGUAGUCAUUAGUAAAAUUAACUAGAGACGAAGUUAACACAAUAACCAUUCCGCCUUGUGAGUACUACUGCAAAGUAGAAAACAAAAAAAUUAGUCGGUCUCGAAGCAAACGGAGUGAAGCAUGUUAUUUAAUUA
rnacentral:rRNA from 1 species